rnacentral:rRNA from 1 species
UACAGGGGGUGCAAACGUUGCUCGGAAUCAUUGGGCGUAAAGCGCACGUAGGCGGUCUGUUAUGUCGGAUGUGAAAGCCCUUGGCUCAACUGAGGAAGUGCAUCCGAAACUGGCAGGCUAGAGUACUAAAGAGGAUCGCGGAAUUCCCGGUGUAGAGGUGAAAUUCGUAGAUAUUAGGAAGAACACCGGUGGCGAAGGCGGCCCACUGGAUCGGUACUGACGCUGAGGUGCGAAAGCGUGGGGAGCAAACAGG